AUUGAACGCUGGCGGCGUGCUUAACACAUGCAAGUCGAUCGGUAACGCGGGGGCAACCCUGGCGACGAGAGGCGGACGGGUGAGGAACGCUUGGGAAUCUGCCUAUAAGCGGGGGACAACACGGGGAAACUCGUGCUUAUACCGCAUACGCUCUACGGAGGACAGCCGGGGACCGCAAGGCCUGGCACUGAUAGAUGAGCCCAAGCCGGCUUAGAUAGUUGGCGGGGUAACGGCCCACCAAGGCGACGGUCCGUCGCUGGUCUGAGAGGACGAUCAGCCACACGGGAACGGAGACACGGUCCAGACUCCUACGGGAGGCAGCAGGUGGGAAUAUUGGACAAGGGGGGAACCCCUGAUCCAGCGACGCCGGGUGGGUGAAGAAGGCCUGCGGGUUGUAAAGCCCUUUCGGUAGGGACGAAAGCUCUCGACCUAACACGUCGGGAGGUUGACUUAACCUACAGAAGAAGCACCGGCUAACUCUGUGCCAGCCGCCGCAGUAACAC
rnacentral:rRNA from 1 species